rnacentral:rRNA from 1 species
GAUUACUGCUAUUUUUUAAAUUACUUUAAACUCUGGCUGCUUACCUUAUGAUCAGUCUCAAUUGGCCAGUACUUGGAUGGGAAACCUCUAGGAAAUCCCAGGGCUGUAAAUA